AAGUUAUUGUGAUCAUUGCAAAGUCCUUGAACUGACUGUACCAUGGAUUACACCGUAGUCAAGCCAUGGUGACCAUUGUGACUUGCACAUACAACUCCAGAUGGCCUGGAACCAGAAAGUCUGAGGUAGCUAGAAAACUUCAAAAGGAGAAUAGCUAGCUCCUGCAGUGCCUGAUUAACCAAGCUUGCAACAUUUUGCCAUUGUUCCUGCCUCAACUGAUAAGCCAACCUUGUGACACUGAGCCUUGGACCUUUUGGCACCUCCCACCAGUGGAACCCCCCGACCCCAGCUUGCAGAAACCACCCUGAACUCUAACUUCUGUAAUUUUCCACUGCCUACCCCAAACCUAUGCAACCAACUCCUAUCCCACUACCCUCCACUGACUCUCUUUUUGGACUCAGCCUACUAAUACCCAGGUGAAUAAUUUCUUCAUUCAGAGAAUGCCUAACAUUUGGUGCUGAAACCCAGGACAGGGGUAUUCCCUGGGGAGACCAGCCCCCUGUCCCCACUCUUCCUGUGAAGAGAUCCACCUGCGAACUCAGCGCAUCAGACCAGCCUGAAAACCUUCUCGUCACCUUCAGAUCAGGGCCUCCAUUAAAAGUCAGACUGCCCAACUCACGUCACUGCUCCCAGAGUUACUGGAGCUCCCAGACCAAAUUCUUCCCAGUCUCCUCAGCUUGGUGGCUGAAGACUGAUGCUGCCUGAACAUCU
rnacentral:lncRNA from 1 species